UCGAGCGCGAACGUUCCUUCGGGAACAAGUAGAGCGGCGGACGGGUGAGUAACGCGUGGGAAAUUGCCCAGUAGUGGGGGACAACAUUCGGAAACGGAUGCUAAUACCGCAUACGCCCUACGGGGGAAAGCAGGGGAUCUUCGGACCUUGCGCUAUUGGAUAUGCCCGCGUCGGAUUAGCUAGUUGGUGAGGUAAUGGCUCACCAAGGCAACGAUCCGUAGCUGGUCUGAGAGGAUGAUCAGCCACACUGGGACUGAGACACGGCCCAGACUCCUACGGGAGGCAGCAGUGGGGAAUAUUGGACAAUGGGCGCAAGCCUGAUCCAGCCAUGCCGCGUGUGUGAAGAAGGCCCUAGGGUUGUAAAGCACUUUCAGUAGGGAGGAAGGCCUUAAAGUUAAUACCUUUGAGGAUUGACGUUACCUACAGAAGAAGCACCGGCUAACUCCGUGCCAGCAGCCGCGGUAAUACGGAGGGUGCGAGCGUUAAUCGGAAUUACUGGGCGUAAAGCGCGCGUAGGCGGUUAGUUAAGCUGGAUGUGAAAGCCCCGGGCUCAACCUGGGAACUGCAUUCAGAACUGGCUGGCUAGAGUACGAGAGAGGGUAGUGGAAUUUCCUGUGUAGCGGUGAAAUGCGUAGAUAUAGGAAGGAACAUCAGUGGCG
rnacentral:rRNA from 1 species